GGACGAACGCUGGCGGCGUGCUUAACCCAUGCAAGUCGAACGGAAAGGCCCUGCUUUUGUGGGGUGCUCGAGUGGCGAACGGGUGAGUAACACGUGAGUAACCUGCCCUUGACUUUGGGAUAACUUCAGGAAACUGGGGCUAAUACCGGAUAGGAGCUCCUGCUGCAUGGUGGGGGUUGGAAAGUUUCGGCGGUUGGGGAUGGACUCGCGGCUUAUCAGCUUGUUGGUGGGGUAGUGACUUACCAAGGCUUUGACGGGUAGCCGGCCUGAGAGGGUGACCGGCCACAUUGGGACUGAGAUACGGCCCAGACUCCUACGGGAGGCAGCAGUGGGGAAUAUUGCACAAUGGGCGGAAGCCUGAUGCAGCAACGCCGCGUGCGGGAUGACGGCCUUCGGGUUGUAAACCGCUUUCGCCUGUGACGAAGCGUGAGUGACGGUAAUGGGUAAAGAAGCACCGGCUAACUACGUG
rnacentral:rRNA from 1 species